rnacentral:rRNA from 1 species
AGAUGUGGUUAAGUCCCGCAACGAGCGCAACCCCUCGUGGCUAGUUGCCAUCAUUUAGUUGGGCACUCUAAGCAGACUGCCGUGGAUAACACGGAGGAAGGUGGGGACGACGUCAAAUCAUCAUGCCCCUUAUGACCUGGGCUACACACGUGCUACAAUGGUCUGAACAGAGGGCUGCGAAACCGCGAGGUGAAGCUAAUCCCUUAAAACAGAUCUCAGUUCGGAUUGCAGGCUGCAACUCGCCUGCAUGAAGUUGGAGUUGCUAGUAAUCGCAGAUCAGAAUGCUGCGGUGAAUGCGUUCCCGGGUCUU